rnacentral:rRNA from 1 species
GACGAACGCUGGCGGCGUGCCUAAUACAUGCAAGUCGAGCGAAGUUUUUCUGGUGCUUGCACCGGAAAAACUUAGCGGCGAACGGGUGAGUAACACGUAAAGAACCUGCCUCAUAGACUGGGACAACUAUUGGAAACGAUAGCUAAUACCGGAUAAUAGCAUUAACUGCAUGGUUGAUGUUUAAAAGUUAGUUUUGCUAACACUAUGAGAUGGCUUUGCGGUGCAUUAGCUAGUUGGUGGGGUAAAGGCCUACCAAGGCGACGAUGCAUAGCCGACCUGAGAGGGUGAUCGGCCACACUGGGACUGAGACACGGCCCAGACUCCUACGGGAGGCAGCAGUAGGGAAUCUUCCGCAAUGGGCGAAAGCCUGACGGAGCAACGCCGCGUGAGUGAAGAAGGAUUUCGGUUCGUAAAGCUCUGUUGUCAGGGAAGAAUGAUUGUGUAGUAACUAUACACAGUAGAGACGGUACCUAACCAGAAAGCCACGGCUAACUACGUG